rnacentral:rRNA from 1 species
AUUGAACGCUGGCGGCAGGCUUAACACAUGCAAGUCGAGCGGGGGAGAAGCUUGCUUUUCCUGCCGGCGAGUGGCGAACGGGUGAGUAAUACAUCGGAACGUGCCCUGUAGUGGGGGAUAACUAGUCGAAAGAUUAGCUAAUACCGCAUACGACCUGAGGGUGAAAGUGGGGGACCGCAAGGCCUCACGCCGCAGGAGCGGCCGAUGUCUGAUGAGCUAGUUGGUGGGGUAAAGGCCCACCAAGGCGACGAUCAGUAGCUGGUCUGAGAGGACGAUCAGCCACACUGGGACUGAGACGCGGCCCAGACUCCUACGGGAGGCAGCAGUGGGGAAUUUUGGACAAUGGGGGCAACCCUGAUCCAGCAAUGCCGCGUGUGUGAAGAAGGCCUUCGGGUUGUAAAGCACUUUUGUCCGGAAAGAAAUCGCGCUGGUUAAUACCUGGCGUGGAUGACGGUACCGGAAGAAUAAGCACCGGCUAACUACGUGCCAGCCGCCGCCGUAA